rnacentral:rRNA from 1 species
CAUACAAGAGAAAGCAGGGAACGUUCGGGCCUUGUGCUAUCAGAUGAGCCUAGUCGGAUUAGUUAGUUGGUGAGGUAGUGGCUCAUCAAGGGGCGAUCCGUAGUUGGUCUGAGAGGAUGAUCAGUCACACAGUAAGUGAGACACGGUCCAGAUUCCUGCGGGAGGCAGCAGUGGGGAAUAUUGUACAAAGGGCGAAAGCCUGAUCCAGCCAUGCGGCGUGUGUGAAGAAAGUGUUCGGAUUGUAAAGCACUUUAAGUGGGGAGGAAGGGCAGUUGCAUAAUAAGUAGCUGUUUUGACGUUACCAACAGAAUAAGCGCCGGCGAAAUCUGUGCCACCAGCCGCGGUAAAACAGAGGGUGCAAACGUUAUUUGGAAUUUCUGGGGGUAAAGCGGGCGUAGAUGGUGUAUUAAGUUUGAUGUGAAAACCCCGGGCUCAAACUCGGAACUGCAUUCAAAAAAGACUGAAUAGAGUAUAGUAGAGGGGGGUGGAAUUUCCUUGUAGCGGUAAAAGUGUAGAUAUUGGAGGAAACAUCAGGGGAAGGCGUCCUCCGGUGAGAUAAGACGGUGGGGUGGGGAGGGGGGAGGUGUUUUG